rnacentral:rRNA from 1 species
UACGGAGGGUGCGAGCGUUGUCCGGAAUCACUGGGCGUAAAGGGCGCGUAGGUGGCUCACGAAAGCGUGCGGUGAAAGCCCGGGGCUCAACCCCGGGUCGGCCGUGCGGACUGCGGGGCUCGAGCACUGUAGGGGCAGAUGGAAUUCCGGGUGUAGCGGUGGAAUGCGUAGAGAUGACAUAGAACACCUAUUGCGAAGGCAGCUUACUACGCCUAUAUUGACGCUGAGGCACGAAAGCGUGGGGAUCAAACAGG